ensembl:lncRNA
CUUUCAUUGACUGCUAAACUCAGGUAUAUUUUUCAGGGUGGAAGAGGACGAUGAUGGAAUUUUACUUGUAGUAUUAACGUGUGUGUUUUGGAGCUGGAUCCAGUUUACAGAAUUUAACCUGUUGCCUUUUUAAAUAAAUUUCUGUUGUUGGUGAAUGUAUUGUACAUAAUGGGGGAGGGGGUGGGCCCAGCUUGUAGUGGGCUUAGCACUGGAGGAAUCCGUAACUGUUUACAAUCAUAUCACACUGAAGUCUUUCAGGAUAGGGUGAGGGUCUGGGGGAGCGGGGAGAGGUCAGGGAACAUGAGAUGAAUGGCUUGCUGUCCUCUGCAACUGAGACACCACCCGAUAGUUGUUUGGCUGAAUAUCAGGAAUUGCUCAGGAGCAUAAUGUGUCCUCCUCUUUCUCUUCUCCUCUUCCUCCUUCGCUCUCACCCCUGUCUCUGCCCCUCCGGAUCCAGGGCCUGAGUGCACUUCCAGCUCCUGUCAUCAUGGGGGAACAAGGAAACCAGGACCAGGAAUUGAAACCAGCACAGGAUGCUCACGGCGUUGUCCCUUGUGCUAGCAUAGUACCCCUCUUCCUGCCUUUCUCGCAGGAGUAGUUUGUGCUCGUGGAAACAAGAAAGGGCACAGUUGGUCAUCUUGGACUUCUUUUGGUGAAAGCAGUGCCCGCUGAGUGUGGAGCAGCACCUAUCCCACAAAGGAAGUGUUGUGCAGAGCUGUACUCCCUGCUGCCACGGAGGGGAACUGCAUCCAUCUUUACCUUCUCUGUCCUUUGUUCUAUUCCCCUCUGGGCAGGAGCAAAGCAGAAAGUAAGCUGAAGUCCCCUGAUAUCCCAGUUGCCUGUGGAAGUAAGAGUAUGAGGUUGGUUUGAGGGAACAGUUUGCUACAGUGUGAGCUGUUUGUUGGCCUGAGGAGUUGGGUUUGGUUAUGGCAAGUAGCAGGUGAUUCAGAAAGCACUAAUCAGUGAAAUCCAGAGUUGAUGGAAUGACUCAGGCAGUGGGAGACGAGAGAGCUGUGCGCUCGAAUGGAGUCUGUUCUCUUCCAUCUUUGAUGCUGUAGCAGCAAGUACCACAGGCUGGUGGCAGCUUCCCUCCAAGUCAAUACACAGUCUGUAAGGACUCUCCACCAGCAAUGGCACUGCAUGGAGGAACCCCUGUGCCCCAGUCUUUGGCCAGACACUGAAGUUCAAGUGUAGGUUUGACAAAUAAGUUGCUUAGAAAUCUCAUCUGCAGGUAUGCACCGCAUCUUAGAACUAACAUAGCUGAAUGUUUCUGGGAGAGAGUAAAGCCAGGUAGAGUUGCUACACUGCAAGGCUGGGCAAGAAAGAUCUGCUGGGCUACAGCCCCAGUGAGAGUUGCAGUUGGCACUGAAGGGACAGUGGUGUAAUUAGGACGUGCCAGCCAAAUUGUGGUAGCAGAGGUGAGUGUGUGAGGACAGAACAGCAUGCCCUGGAGUCUGCACUACCAGCCACGGGAGGGUUUCUGCCUCUAGGUUUCUGGAGAAUUUUUCUGGCUGUGUUGUCAUCUCAAAUGGUGCCGUCACCCAUAGUAGCUGGGUUGCACCAGCAUGCGUGGCUGCACCAAGCCUAAUAGGAGUUCAACUUCUUCCUGCUAGUCCCAUGGGUGUGUUUAUGAGCUCACUGCUCCUUACUAAGUGCUUCAGCCUGCCUGUGGCCUGCAGCUGCUCUUUGUUCUGUCCAGCGGGCUGCCUGGCUAGCUGGCUCCUCCCCAGAGGAAGACUUCGGUAUGGGAAUGAGUGUAAGUGUAACCACUGUUCAGGACAGUAAGCUUAGGACAAAUGAAAAAACUGUUGCUUCUCUUUUUAAGGAAAUCUUUAGUUCUUGUAGUUCAUUUUCAUUAAAAAUGGAGGAUCUGUAAAGUCUAACUUAGAGCAAAGUAUUUGAAAUGCUGGGAAUGAGAAUGCGUGUUCUGCAAACAACCCUUGCCGUACUUCAGCCUGUGUCUUCUGCACCAUAGAUGGUUACCCAAAUACUCCAAGUGCCUUUCAGUUCAUGGUGAGCUUUGUGGAAUAGGAGGUUUUAGAUGCUAUAAACAAAGCCAAAGCACUCUUGAUCUUCGGCUGGAACUGGCACUGAAAAUGCGGUUCAAGGGAUCACGGCAUCUGGAUGAGUACCAACCCAAGGUUAAACAGGAGGAAUAGGGAAGGCAAGGAUUGCUUGUGGUCUGCCUGGGGAGGGUAAUGGAUGAUGGGUAUACCGCUAGGAUUCUACAUGGAGUAUGAGGCGUGGAGAUGCUGUCCCUUACCUGGCAGGAUUGAGUGGGUUUCUAAGUAAAUGGUUUUUGAUGUAGUUGGUGAUUCUGAUGAAAGCAACUAACAGAAGUUGCUAUUGGGGGUGCAUGUGAUUUGCAUUAGCGAAGUGCCGAUGUAGCACAGAGGGAACAAGGGCUGGAAUACAGGGAUAUCCCAGGGACAGGACAUGCUCAGAUCAAGUGUUGCUUGUGGAACCUUAGUUCUGAGUUUCCAGACUAUGAAAUGCUUUGCUCAGAAAUGUUUGCGGGUUGUGGUCGGGUUGGGUUGGGUUUUGGCUUUGUUGUUGUUUUGUGAUGACGUCUAGGCACCCCCCCCCCAAACCAGAGUUCUAUCUCGCUGGGUACAAUCUGAACAAAUCACUGAAAAUUUGCACCUCCCAGAGCAGUUAGUGGGGUGGGACGACAGCAAAAGUGCACAGAGAGAAGCAGAAAAUGAGAUUUUCGUUGUUUCUGAUCUCCCACCUAUGCCGUGUGGGCUGGCUUGUAGAUAAUGUGAAAGGGACAGAUUUAAAGAGGGAUUUAGAAUAGAUUAAACCAGCAGCUCUUUAGGUACGAGGUGAGGCUUUUUUCCUUGAGCUGGUGUACGGUGCUGAAGAAAAGUUGCAUUUUUUUAAAUAUCCUUUGAUUAUUGUAUUCACUUCACUCAAAAAACUUCUCAACAGAGUACAGAAAAAUUCUGGAAUCUGAUGGGAACACCCUCUUUUCUCAUCCUCUGCAGCGCUGCAGUACGGUGUGUUACCAAUUGGACCUUUUUCACAGGGCAUAUUGGGCAAGUGACUUUGCAGAGUUUCCCAUAGGUAUUACUUUUUUUCAUAUGAAAGACAUGGUUUGUAAUUACAGAUGUAGGUCACUCUGAAAGUAAUGCCUCCUACUUAUUUCCUUUCUUUUCCCGCAUGGAGGAAUUCAAUCCUGCAGUUCUGCUUCAUACGCACUUCCGUGUCAGACGCCGUUCUGUCAGACUGCCCCUCUGCUGCCAUCUGUCACACGGCAACAACGUGUAACAGAAUGUCGGUGGGAAGGUUUAACCUCUACUGCCAUACCAACAUCCACCUCUGGCACCAUGGGCCAGCAGAAUAAAAUAGGAGGCAUUACUUUCAGAGCAGCCCUUGUACGUGUCAAACAAGAUUGCGUAGUAGAACGAACACAACGCUGAGCGUGCCAAAAUCUCCCAGUGCUCUGGUGGUACAAGUGGCACGUGGUGCUCAGUCCCAUUCUAAAUGCAGUUGUAUCACCUUCUGCUGGGACUCCGGGAACUUUUGGCAUCUUCAGCACCAUUGGGCCCUGGCAACUGAACCAAGUAUUUGGGGAAGAUUGGUAGCUGAGGGUUCACAGGGAUCUGAGCCGUGUCCAGCAGAAGUUUGCAGUCUCUAAAUGCCAUGGUGUGACCAAAGCGUGUGGUGGCAAGCCACGGCACCAGCCUGCAAUGAGAAGGACAAAAGAGGAAAGUAAAUUGGAAGUUUCAAGGCCUGGCUGGUUUGAUCUGUGACUUUGAAGUACGCUUUUCUUGGAAUGGCUUCUAGUUCUUUCUCAUCUGCCUUUCCCAUGCAGAAUUCUGAAGCAAAUCUCCUGUGUGUAUUUUUGUACGUGUGGUUUCUCGGGGUCUUGGAGAGCUAUCAGCUUCUUGAUGUCUUAUCUGAAAGCUCAUCACAGGGGCUGUCUCUCAUUCUGCUGACUGAGGCAGCUUCUCUCUCUUUACAGCAACACUUCUCCCUUUAAAAUGAAAGUAUAAUGAGAGAACGACCCGCGUUUUGUCUCCUCCGCUGAUGGCUGUCAGCUUUCUGUGCAUUCUGAGCCAAGCCAGGGCUAUCUCUCUGCUCUCUGCGGCUUUGCUCUGCUUUUCCUUCUCGAGGAGGUGCCCUGGGCUUCAAUUGUCCACCGUGGCACUUUGGAGAAGGUGCCGCAGUGUGGUGAGGGAAAAGUGAUGUCCCGAGGGGUGGAACAGCUGCAGGCUCCGCAGUGGUGUGGCUGCUUGGUCCAUGCAUACCUUUGCAGCGCAGGUGGACUGAGCUGCGUGAGGCCAUGCCCUUGUCAGUAGCUGUCGGCUUCUGCUCACACGCGGUGUCUGAGACGCCGUGGGCGCUUUGUAGUGUUAAUGCUGAUGGCCUUGUGUCCACUUGGGCUUUUUCUCCUUGUUCUGCAGCAGUGGAGGAGAUCUGGCACAGGUCUUCCUCUUUCUGAAAUGUGGAUGGCGGAGGAGGCUGCAUGAAUAGAGAACCAGAACUGUAUCCAGCAGUGGAAAGGGGGACGGACGAGGGACUAAGUAGGGCUAAGGAAUCAUUGGGAUUGUCACCAGCUCCAGCAGGUCCCUCUCUCCAUUGCUUUUGUUUGGAAACACGUGGCUCACUGGCAAAGGGGCAGUAAUUGGGAAAUCUGCACCUGAGUAGAAGUGGAACUGUUUGUGGGCAGUUUCCUCUUUGUGGGCAACGUUGGGCCAGGGGCUGCCAAGGGAGCCUUUGGGCCUUCCAAUCCAUACAGGACAGGUGGAAGUUGUGCAGCAGCCCCCUCCUGUCCCGAGGCAGCCAGGCAGCUGCAGGAACCAGGGCGUGGGCUUUGGCUUUGGUCCCCCUUUGCGUCAUGCACCAAUGCUUCCCCUCUCCUUGCUGCCCAGUUUUCAAGCUCCUUCCCUCUGUGCUUCACCGUUGCUGUCAGAGGCAGAGACAGGAGCUCACCGUCUGUGGAGGGGCAGAAGGUUCAGCUCGCCAGCUGUCUCCUCUGCAUACGCAGGCAGGGAGUGUGCAUCACCCUCCCUGUGACAUCAAGGUGCCCUCAGCAUCCAGCAGUGCCCUCCUACCCUUUGGGCUCACUGCGUGACGCUGGGUGCCAUCCCUCCACCAGGCGCCACUGCAGAGUGGGACCUGCUGUGUCUACCUCUGUGGUAGCUUUGGCUAACAAAAAAAUGGUGUGCACAGCCCAGAAACCUGUUACCUCUAUUCCUUGUGAGCUCAGUGAGCACUGCUGCCUGAUUUCUGAGCAGUAACAGUGUGCAGCAGUGCAGCUCCAACCUUCCUGUGUCAGAGCAGGGAGGGGAUGGCUCCAAACCACACUGCGGGGCUCCAGGAUGCGGCUGGGAAGCGAGGUGCUUCCUGCAGCCCUGUGUCUCCUCGCUGCCACAUGGCUGCUUUCCCAGUGACCGACGGGUUGGUUUGCUUUGCUGUUUGGGCUGUUGGUUUUGGUUUUUGUUUUUUGUUUUUUGUUUUUUUUUUUCUUUUGUAUUAUUGUAAGUUUGUAAAGAAUGUAAUCUGUCUGUUGGGGGCGUAAGGAGGACAUGGGGGCCGUUCUCUUUCCGGGUGAGACUGUUUGUGAGUUGCUGUGUGUUUUGGUGCUGGGUGGGGAAGGGCCCAGCAGCCAUGGGGGCAAAACCCAACCCUGUCAACCCAUCGCGACUAUCAUGGGCAGCAGGAGGGCGAGCGGGUGCUGGGCAGCAACCUCCCAGCCUGAGUGUGGAAACCCUGCUCGCAUCCUUAGGCGGGGAGAGAUGUGAGCAUGCAGGGCUCUGCACAGGGCUCUCCUGCUCGGGGCUGGGCCCACUCAUCCUCAGCUGGGGUAGCAGCUGAGCUGCCCAGCUGCUGUGCAAAGGGAGGGCUGAAGACAACAGCCCGAAUUUCUCAGUGCAGGAACAAAUUUGAGCCGGCCCUCGUGCCCGCCUCCCUCCCCGUCCCAUAGAGCACAGUGUCAGGGAUCCUCCUCUCUCUCCUGCUGCUGCAAGGUCAUGUGAACUUUCCUGGUCAAUACUGGAAAGGGGAAUGCUAUUUAUUUUUAUAUUGUGUAUAUUUUGUCUUGGUCUGCUGAUUACCUUUGUUCCCCAGAGCGACAGUUACCUCAAUAGUUAGUUUAAUACUGUGUGUUUGGGUAAUUUUUUUAAAGAACUUUUUUAAAAGCUUGAUCCUUGGAGGUCUGUAGAUUUUAUUUCCAUAUGAAUUGGUUAUUUUGUAUAAAGUACGUUCUUAAAAUAGCAA